AAAAAAGCAGGGCUUUGUUGCCUUUAGUGGAUAGGGCUCUCGUAAACUUCAGGGAAACUAAGUGCAUUGUUAUUGGGUGAACCGUUGUAGAUAUAGUUGCUUAUGGUUCAGUAAAUGAUGCUACAUUU
rfam:Cucumis melo, WGS project CAJI01000000 data, contig: 09943